rfam:Gossypium raimondii Chr08_contig_80, whole genome shotgun sequence.
AAUCCAUGGUGCUGGCAUUUUUGAAUUAACAUUUUGAAUCGUUCCCAUGCCUCAUAGAAACUUUCUCCCUCCAUCUAUCUAAAAACAACAAUCUCCCUUAUUAGUAAU